GCUGGACACCAGACACGGGUGCACCUGAGGUGAGGUAGUAGGUUGUAUAGUUGAGAAGUACAUCAUUGGAGAUAACUGUGCAACCUGCUAGCUCUCCUUGGGGCAUGCCAGUUGCAGCACACCUUCC
rnacentral:pre_miRNA from 16 species